rnacentral:rRNA from 1 species
CCCUGCCAUUUGUACACACCGCCCGUCGCUACUACCGAUUGAAUGGAUUAGUGAGCUUUAAGGAGUAAAUAAUUUUUUGGCUUGCCAAUUUAUUAUUUAUGAAUUAAAUCAAACUUGCUCAUUUAGAGGAAGUAAAAGUCGUAACAAGGUUU